UACAGAGGUCUCAAGCGUUGUUCGGAAUUACUGGGCGUAAAGCGCACGUAGGCGGACUGUUAAGUCGGGGGUGAAAUCCUGGGGCUCAACCUCAGAAUUGCCUCCGAUACUGGCAGUCUCGAGUGCGGGAGAGGUGAGUGGAAUUCCCAGUGUAGAGGUGAAAUUCGUAGAUAUUGGGAAGAACACCAGUGGCGAAGGCGGCUCACUGGCCCGUAACUGACGCUGAGGUGCGAAAGCGUGGGGAGCAAACAGG
rnacentral:rRNA from 1 species